UUUUCGUAUCAGCGGAAACAUAGCGACAUAGCGACCGCGCCUGUGCCUGGCUCUCCAUGCCUGGACGACGCGACCAUAGCAAACGCCUUACGAAUGAAUCGGAUACUCGUGAACAGACAGUAAGUGCUUCGAGAGACGCUGUGCGCACACUUCUCGCUGCCGAAAGCCGUCUCGUCCAGGAUGCAUUGAAGCGGACACACACAGCCUGCAGCGAAGAACAACGCGACGGACAUUGCUCUACUCCACUUGGCAUCCUCUUAGACCCCCUCGUGAGCCUUGGCCGACGCCUGGCAAUGCUGGUUGGCUGCACUCGUAUCUGACGAGCCCGGCGACGUUUUGCUGCAGCAGUAGCCUUGAGUGCCAGCAUCAGCGCAGUUCCAUCCAUGCUGUUUUGCACACGAGCCAGCUCCUCUCCAAGGCCCUUCAGGAUCUCGAGUUGGGGUAUGUAUGUCCAAAUGAUCAGUCAGUCGAAACUUGGCGCUCUGGAGUCACAACUGCAGCCAAAGAGUUAAACCCUAACAAAGAGUUAACCCUUCAUUAGUCGGAUGCUGAAUUCAGGGACGUACCUGUCCUAAUUCAUUAUUUAAAUGGAAUCUAUCCUGCACGAUUUGCAUAAGUAUGUCCACGGUGUGCAGACGCACCUGCAGUUAAACAUACCACAUUGAAGUGCUUCAAAAGGCCUCUGGAUAUGCCUCUUCCGCAGCAUGCCGCAUACAGCAGAAAAGGCAGCUGCAUGAAGCAUGGCUUCCAAAGAGGAGAUGAGAUAGCUACCUGGCUCUCUCGGACAAAAAGUCCAGUGAGCUGACCUUGGAAUAAGGGUCUAUACCAUGAUA
rnacentral:lncRNA from 1 species